GCGCGAAUCUUCGGCAAUGGGCGCAAGCCUGACCGAGCGACGCCGCGUGGAGGACGAAGGCCUUCGGGUUGUAAACUCCUGUCGAGGGGGAGGAAGGCGCAAGCUUGACCGAUCCCUGGAGGAAGCACGGGCUAAGUUCGUGCCAGCAGCCGCGGUAAGACGAACCGUGCGAACGUCAUUCGGAAUCACUGGGCUUAAAGCGCGUGUAGGCGGGCCGGCACGUCGGCCGCUGAAAUCCCCCGGCUCAACCGGGGAAGCGGCGCCGAUACGACCGGCCUGGAGGGGAGUAGGGGGGCCUGGAACUUCCGGUGGAGCGGUGAAAUGCGUUGAGAUCGGAAGGAACGCCCGUGGCGAAAGCGAGGCCCUGGACUCCUGCUGACGCUGAGACGCGAAAGCCAGGGGAGCGAACG
rnacentral:rRNA from 1 species